GGGGCUGAGGCUCAGUGGUAGAGCACUGACCUCACAUGUGUGAGAGCCUGGGUUCUAUACUCAGCACCACA
rnacentral:tRNA from 1 species